rnacentral:rRNA from 1 species
CCCUUAGACGUUCUGGGCCGCACGCGCGCUACACUGACGAAGGCAACGAGCUUUCCUUUACCGAAAGGUACGGGUAAUCUUUUGAAACUUCGUCGUGCUGGGGAUAGAUCCUUGCAAUUUUUGAUCUUAAACGAGGAAUGCCUAGUAAGCGCAAGUCAUCAACUUGCGUUGAUUACGUCCCUGCCCUUUGUACACACCGCCCGUCGCUACUACCGAUUGAACGGUUUAGUGAGGGCCUCGGAUUGGUCUCGGCCCGCUCUUUACCGGGCGGCGCCGUUGGUCGAGAAGACGCUCGAACUUGAUCGUUUAGAGGAAGUAAAAGUCGUAACA